UAAAGUUAGAGAAAGGAAUCGACAUACUUAGCGAUUUUUCUAUCUGUAAAGGGGCAUAACUCAAGAACAGUAAAAGUGACGCCAACUCAUUUCGAACUUGAUCUGUGUUAUGUAAUAAUAAGCAUUGUGUAUAAAUUGUAUAACAUUUGAAUGAGGCAAACUAAAGUUAGUGAAUGGAAACGAAAACUUCAGCAAUUGUUAUGCUUAUAAAGCGGCAUUACUCAUGAACGGGAAAAGUAAAACUACACAGUUUCAAUGUUGAUCAGUGUUUUGUGGUAAUUAUGUGGUUGAAGCAAACUAAAGUUACAAAACGGAAACCAAUUUUGUGAGGCAAGGACAAGUGGGACGGUUAAGAAUGUACUUGGCUGAGAUUUUGGAAUCUGUGUCAAAAUUUUUUAAUGUUCGGACUCCAUGGUGUUUUUCCAUACAAUACAAAGUAAAAUAUUU
rnacentral:lncRNA from 1 species